CCCUUAGAUGUUCGGGGCCGCACGCGCGCUACACUGAAGGAAUCAGCACGUCUUUCUCCUUGUCCGAAAGGACUGGGUAACCCGCUGAACCUCCUUCGUGCUAGGGAUUGGGGCUUGUAAUUCUUCCCCAUGAACGAGGAAUUCCCAGUAAGCGCGAGUCAUAAGCUCGCGUUGAUUACGUCCCUGCCCUUUGUACACACCGCCCGUCGCUACUACCGAUUGGAUGGUUUAGUGAGAUCCUCGGAUUGGUCCCGGCGUGGCCUCUGGUCGUGCCGGAGUGCCGAAAAGAAUGUCGAACUUGAUCAUCUAGAGGAAGUAAAAGUCGUAACA
rnacentral:rRNA from 1 species